UAGGAGUCUUGAGUAAGAAUCCUAUUAGGAGUUAGGGUUUAGAAACUCUAUAAAUAGCCAUGUAUUCCUCCUCUUUUGAUAAGCAAUAGAUGAAUCUUUUCUGCGGCCUUUGAGCAGCAACUUGGAGGGAGGAACCCCUAUAGAGUUCCAAGGAGGCCGAUCCCCUAAAGAGAUCAACCCCAAGUUUAGAAUCUACAAGGGUUCUAACACUUGGUAUCAGAGCAGCAUUCUUG
rnacentral:lncRNA from 1 species